rnacentral:tRNA from 1 species
UGCCAGAUCGUCUAAUGGUAGGACUCCGGUUUUUGGUACCGGCAAUCUAGGUUCGAGCCCUAGUCUGGCAA